AUUGAACGCUGGCGGCAGGCCUAACACAUGCAAGUCGAACGGUAGCACAGAGGAGCUUGCUCCUUGGGUGACGAGUGGCGGACGGGUGAGUAAUGUCUGGGAAACUGCCCGAUGGAGGGGGAUAACUACUGGAAACGGUAGCUAAUACCGCAUAACGUCGCAAGACCAAAGAGGGGGACCUUCGGGCCUCUUGCCAUCGGAUGUGCCCAGAUGGGAUUAGCUAGUAGGUGGGGUAACGGCUCACCUAGGCGACGAUCCCUAGCUGGUCUGAGAGGAUGACCAGCCACACUGGAACUGAGACACGGUCCAGACUCCUACGGGAGGCAGCAGUGGGGAAUAUUGCACAAUGGGUGCAAGCCUGAUGCAGCCAUGCCGCGUGUAUGAAGAAGGCCUUCGGGUUGUAAAGUACUUUCAGCGAGGAGGAAGGCGUUGUGGUUAAUAACCGCAACGAUUGACGUUACUCGCAGAAGAAGCACCGG
rnacentral:rRNA from 1 species